CAGGGAUUCCAGAGUACAGGAACAAUCCAUAAAACGGGAACUGGACCACACAAAAACACACCCAUGGCUCCAAGCGGGCAUGUUUGAAAAUAAGCAGACCUUGAGGAGUAGGAAGCAGGGGGCUUGCAUCAAAUGAUCUUUAUAAAUGCCCCUCUAAAAUUAAAACCCUCUCUAAGCUUCUUCCAGGUCUUUCACAUGCAUCAUUGGAUUACAAUCUCAAGUCUGGGAUCCCAGUGGAAUUGAGUAUCCAUUGAGAAUUUACUGUGCUCUAGGCACGGAACAAGACGCUUCGGGUCCUUCAAAGACAACACCUAAUUAUCCCCAGAGAAGUCAUGGCUGAAAAGAUGGGAUGGUGAGAGUCCCUAGAUCCAUUCUAGACAUGAGUUUCUCUGGAAGUUUCCUGCCACUGCCAAAGGUGUUUCUUGCCCACCUGUCGAGAAAAUUCUUGACUGCCUGAUUUCUCCAAAUAGUAAGUGUUCUUGGAGCAAUCAAAUGAUUUUUUAAAACAGCAGGCGGGAUGAUAAUGUUUUAAAAUAGAGUCUAUCUGCCAUCUUGUAGCUUCCAUUCUCAUUCCAGAUGAAGUACUGGGGGUGCCAGAGUCCAGAUGAGGAUUUUGGUAUCUCCAAGGAUUAGCAGAACAUAGGGAGAGAAAGAGGCCCUGUUAUCUUUGCACAGGGGCGGCC
rnacentral:lncRNA from 12 species